CCUUUAGGUCUCCUAGGCCCUGUUGUCAUAAUUUCUAAGAUCAUUUUACAAAAGCUGUGGCUAUGUAAAAUCGACUGGGAUGACCUAGUACCGAGUGACGUCACAGAAAAAUUCCAUAAAUUCAUAGAUUCGAUUCAAAAACAUUUACACGACAUUAAAAUUCCACGAUGUGUUAGGGCAGCUCACACUCAUCGUACGGAACUACAUAUUUUUUCAGACGCAUCACAAGAUGCAUACGGCGCUUGUGCAUAUAUUCGUACAAUAGAUGAGAAUUCAGUAGUCUCGCUUAAUCUACUAUGUGCAAAAAGUAAGGUUGCUCCCUUGAAAACGAUCAGUAUCCCAAAAUUAGAACUUUGUGGUGCUUUAAUUGGUGCGAGAUUGUACAAAAAGAUUGUUGAGUCACUUAGAUUAAAAUUCGAUUCUGUUUGCUUUUGGACGGACUCAACAAUCGUGAUGGGGUGGUUACGUAUGUCUCCACAUUUAUUAAAAACUUUUGUACAAAAUCGAAUAACAGAAGUAAACGAGUUGACAGGCGAUUCACUGUGGUUGCAUAUAGACGGCGAUAAAAACCCAGCCGAUCUAGUGUCAAGGGGCCUUUACAUCGAUGCACUAAAGAACAAUAACCUGUGGUGGCACGGGCCUACCUUUUUACAUUGUGCAGACUGGUCAAGGGAUACUCAAGCGAUACCUAUCCGUGAAGAUCUACCAGAGUUAAAACUUAAAAUAGUUAGUGCAGUUUGUACAAAUGCAGAUAGCUUAUUCGACUUCAAAAGGUUUUCACAGUUUAAUAGAUUGAAGCGGACUGGAGCGUACCUACUGAGGUUCAUUCACAAUACACGCAAUAAGCAGGCGCGACGCACCGGUCCCUUAUCAGUCGCCGAGUUACACGAUGCAGAAAUUGUUGUGACACGCUGCGCGCAAGCCCAGAUGUUUCCGACUGUAUACAACAACUUAUUAAACGAAAU